rnacentral:rRNA from 1 species
GAGUUUGAUCCUGGCUCAGAACGAACGCUGGCGGCAGGCUUAACACAUGCAAGUCGAACGCUCCGCAAGGAGAGUGGCAGACGGGUGAGUAACGCGUGGGAAUCUACCCAACCCUGCGGAAUAGCUCUGGGAAACUGGAAUUAAUACCGCAUACGCCCUACGGGGGAAAGAUUUAUCGGGGAUGGAUGAGCCCGCGUUGGAUUAGCUAGUUGGUGGGGUAAAGGCCUACCAAGGCGACGAUCCAUAGCUGGUCUGAGAGGAUGAUCAGCCACAUUGGGACUGAGACACGGCCCAAACUCCUACGGGAGGCAGCAGUGGGGAAUAUUGGACAAUGGGCGCAAGCCUGAUCCAGCCAUGCCGCGUGAGUGAUGAAGGCCUUAGGGUUGUAAAGCUCUUUCACCGGAGAAGGUAAUGACGGUAUCCGGAGAAGAAGCCCCGGCUAACUUCGUG